rnacentral:lncRNA from 1 species
GUGACACACUGGACCAUAAACAAUCACUUGAGAUACGUGUGCAGUGAGAUAGAUUGAAGAGUUGGAGAACUUUUGCUACUUAUAUAAUUUGGAAAUCGGUCUAACUAGUAACUAAUAGAGUUUGUCCACAGUAUCAUGUGUUUGUGUUUUUCUUCUCUCUAAUCUACGGGUAUUCUUGAUUGGUUUGUUUGUACAUCUUAAAUGGCCUUAUCACUUUACUAGUAGGGUUUGGCAUGGAAAAAGAAGAUAAAGGAUAAAAAUGCUGGCAUUCCUUAGACAAAUAUAUUAAAUGAUUGUUAUUCACAAGUCCCUUCAAAUCCAUUCUAUUGGUGAUGCAUUGGGGAGAUUUCUCUUCUACUUGAGCAACAGUUUAUAUGGAAAUUUCUUCCUGGAUGGGUUCUAACAGGAACUGUUCUGUGGCAUCUUCAGCUGGCACAAUGUCGAUUGUUUCUCUCUCCUCAUCCUGCGUUCUGACAAGCAGCAUUAAGUGCCAGCCCUCUUCUCCACUGAUCAAGAGCCCAUCCUCGUUGAGCUCCUUGAAGUGCAUCUCAAAAGCAUCAAACUUGAAGAUAUCAAACUGCUUCAGGGCAUCGGCCAUGGCGGUCUACACGGUGAAACUAAUCGACCCAGAGGGGCAGGAACAUGAAUUUGAAGCUCCAGACGAUACCUACAUUCUGGACGCAGCUGAGGCUGCAGGCGUAGACCUUCCUUACUCUUGCCGUGCCGGAGCAUGUUCUACGUGUGCUGGUCAGAUGGUGUCUGGUAACGUUGAUCAGUCCGAUGGAUCCUUCCUUGACGAAUCACAGAUGGCCAAGGGUUAUCUUCUUACCUGUGUCUCUUACCCAAGAUCCGACUGCAUCAUCCACACUCAUAAAGAAGGUGAUCUCUAUUGAUUGUCUGUGGUUGGGUUAACACCUUUAGUUGUGCUU